rnacentral:rRNA from 1 species
GCGAUACAGGGUGACAGCCCCGUACACAAAAAUGCACAUAUUGUGAGCUCGAUGAGUAGGGCGGGACACGUGGUAUCCUGUCUGAAUAUGGGGGGACCAUCCUCCAAGGCUAAAUACUCCUGACUGACCGAUAGUGAACCAGUACCGUGAGGGAAAGGCGAAAAGAACCCCGGCGAGGGGAGUGAAAAAGAACCUGAAACCGUGUACGUACAAGCAGUGGGAGCCUCUUAAUGGGGUGACUGCGUACCUUUUGUAUAAUGGGUCAGCGACUUAUAUUCUGUAGCAAGGUUAACCGAAUAGGGGAGCCGAAGGGAAACCGAGUCUUAACUGGGCGUUAAGUUGCAGGGUAUAGACCCGAAACCCGGUGAUCUAGCCAUGGGCAGGUUGAAGGUUGGGUAACACUAACUGGAGGACCGAACCGACUAAUGUUGAAAAAUUAGCGGAUGACUUGUGGCUGGGGGUGAAAGGCCAAUCAAACCGGGAGAUAGCUGGUUCUCCCCGAAAGCUAUUUAGGUAGCGCCUCGUGAAUUCAUCUCCGGGGGUAGAGCACUGUUUCGGCAAGGGGGUCAUCCCGACUUACCAACCCGAUGCAAACUGCGAAUACCGGAGAAUGUUAUCACGGGAGACACACGGCGGGUGCUAACGUCCGUCGUGAAGAGGGAAACAACCCAGACCGCCAGCUAAGGUCCCAAAGUCAUGGUUAAGUGGGAAACGAUGUGGGAAGGCCCAGACAGCCAGGAUGUUGGCUUAGAAGCAGCCAUCAUUUAAAGAAAGCGUAAUAGCUCACUGGUCGAGUCGGCCUGCGCGGAAGAUGUAACGGGGCUAAACCAUGCACCGAAGCUGCGGCAGCGACACUAUGUGUUGUUGGGUAGGGGAGCG